UACAGAGGGUGCGAGCGUUAAUCGGAAUUACUGGGCGUAAAGCGCGCGUAGACGGUUUUGUAAGUCGGAUGUGUAAUCCCCGGGCUCAACCUGGGAACUGCAUUCGAUACUGCUUGGCUAGAGUACGGUAGAGGGAAGCGGAAUUUCCGGUGUAGCGGUGAAAUGCGUAGAUAUCGUAAGGAAGACCAGUGGCGAAGGCGGGUCUCUGGACAGUUCCUGACGCUGAGGCACGAAGCCCAGGGGAGCAAACGGG
rnacentral:rRNA from 1 species